UCCGGUUUGUUUCCGGCAGUCUCCUUAGAUGUGCAACUAAGGACGAGGGUUGCGCUCGUUGCGGGACUUAACCCAACAUCUCACGACACGAGCUGACGACAGCCAUGCAGCAUCUGUCUAUCCGUCCCGAAGGAGGCCCCGCUUUCACGAGGUUGCGAAUAGAUGUCAAGCCCUGGUAAGGUUCUUCGCGUUGCAUCGAAUUAAACCACACGCUCCGCUGCUUGUGCGGGUCCCCGUCAAUUCCUUUGAGUUUUAGUCUUGCGACCGUACUCCCCAGGCGGGCCACUUAAUGCGUUAGCUUCGGCACGGAAGGGGUCAACACCCCCCACACCUAGUGGCCAUCGUUUACUGCUAGGACUAC
rnacentral:misc_RNA from 1 species